CAGAAUUCGCCCUUAGAGUUUGAUCAUGGCUCAGAACGUACCGCUGGCGGCACGCCUAAUACAUGCAAGUCGAACGGAGUAGCAAUACUUAGUGGCAGACGGGUGAGUAACAUGUGGGUAUCUUCCCUUUGGUGAGGAAUAACACGAGGAAACUUGUGCUAAUACCUCAUAAGUCUUUACGGAGAAAGCUUUAUGCGCCAAUGGAUGAGCCCGCACUUGAUUAGUUUGUUGGUGGGGUAAUGGCCUACCAAGACUGUGAUCAAUAGCUGAUUUGAGAGGAUGAUCAGCCACAUUGGGACUGAGACACGGCCCAAACUCCUACGGGAGGCAGCAGUAGGGAAUCUUGCACAAUGGAGGAAACUCUGAUGCAGCGAUGCCGCGUGAGUGAAGAAGGCCCUUGGGUUGUAAAGCUCUUUCGUCGGGGAAGAAAAUGACUGUACCCGAAUAAGAAGGUCCGGCUAACUUCGUGCCAGCAGCCGCGGUAAUACGAAGGGACCUAGCGUAGUUCGGAAUUACUGGGCUUAAAGAGUUCGUAGGUGGUUAAAAAAGUUGGUGGUGAAAGCCCAGAGCUUAACUCUGGAAUUGCCAUCAAAACUUUUUAGCUAGAGUUUGAUAGAGGAAAGCAGAAUUUCUAGUGUAGAGGUGAAAUUCGUAGAUAUUAGAAAGAAUACCAAUUGCGAAGGCAGCUUUCUGGAUCAUUACUGACACUGAGGAACGAAAGCAUGGGUAGCGAAGAGGAUUAGAUACCCUCGUAGUCCAUGCCGUAAACGAUGUGUGUUAGAUGUUGGAAAUUUAUUUUCAGUAUCUCAGCGAAAGCAAUAAACACACCGCCUGGG
rnacentral:rRNA from 1 species